rnacentral:rRNA from 1 species
UGAGGAAUAUUGGUCAAUGGCCGGAAGGCUGAACCAGCCAAGUCGCGUGAGGGACUAAGGCCCUACGGGUCGUAAACCUCUUUGUCGGGGAGCAAUGGGUGACUUGCGAGUCAUCAGGGAGAGUACCCGAAGAAAAGCAUCGGCUAACUCCGUGCCAGCAGCCGCGUAAUAUGACUGU